GGCAAGGUGGCCGAGCGGUCCAAGGCGCACGGUUCAGGUAUACUGAUCCAAUAAUGCUAAUGCGCGCAAGUGCAUGUAGUAUCCGUGUCUCGAAAGGGGCGUGGGUUCGAAUCCCACCCUUGUCA